rnacentral:rRNA from 1 species
CCUACGGGUGGCAGCAGUGGGGGAUAUUGCACAAUGGGGGGAACCCUGAUGCAGCGACGCCGCGUGGGUGAAGGAGUGCUUCGGCAUGUAAAGCCCUAUCAGCAGGGAAGAAGCAAGACGGUACCUGACUAAGAAGCCCCGGCUAACUACGUGCCAGCAGCCGCGGUAAUACGUAGGGGGCGAGCGUUAUCCGGAUUCACUGGGUGUAAAGGGAGCGUAGACGGCCAUGCAAGCCAGGGGUGAAAGCCCGGGGCCCAACCCCGGGACUGCCCUUGGAACUGUGCGGCUAGAGUGCGGUAGGGGGAGGCGGAAUUCCAGGUGUAGCGGUGAAAUGCGUAGAGAUCAGGAGGAACACCGGCGGCGAAGGCGGCCUGCUGGACUGCGACUGACGUUGAGGUUCGAAAGCGUGGGGAGCGAACAGGAUUAGAUACCCCGGUAGUC